rnacentral:rRNA from 1 species
UACAGAGGGUGCGAGCGUUAAUCGGAAUUACUGGGCGUAAAGCGCGCGUAGGCGGCUUUGCAAGCCGGAUGUGAAAUCCCCGGGCUUAACCUGGGAACUGCAUUCGGGACUGCAUUGCUAGAGUAUGGGAGAGGGAAGUGGAAUUUCAGGUGUAGCGGUGAAAUGCGUAGAUAUCUGAAGGAACAUCAGUGGCGAAAGCGACUUCCUGGACCAAUACUGACGUUCAGGCACGAAAGCGUGGGGAGCAAACAGG